UCCUACGGGAGGCAGCAGUGGGGAAUAUUGCACAAUGGGCGAAUGCCUGAUGCAGCAACGCCGCGCGAGUGAUGAAGGCCUUCGGGUCGUAAAACUCUGUCCUCAAGGAAGAUAAUGACGGUACUUGAGGAGGAAGCCCCGGCUAACUACGUGCCAGCAGCCGCGGUAAUACGUAGGGGGCUAGCGUUAUUCGGAUUUACUGGGCGUAAAGGGUGCGUAGGCGGUCUUUCAAGUCAGGAGUGAAAGGCUACGGCUCAACCGUAGUAAGCUCUUGAAACGGGGAGAUUUGAGUGCAGGAGAGGAGAGUGAAUUUCUAGGGUAGUGGUGAAAUGCGUAGAGAUUAGGAGGAACACCAGUUGCGAAGGCGGCUCUCUGGACUGUAACUGACGCUGAGGCACGAAAGCGUGGGGAGCAAACAGGAUUAGAUACCCUGGUAGUCCACGCUGUAAACGAUGAGUACUAGGUGUCGGGGGUUACCCCC
rnacentral:rRNA from 1 species